CAACCCACACCUGGGAUUCAGAUGCUAGCCGGUUCCUCCUGUGCUCCAGCACAGAACAUCUGGAGCCAGCUCCGGUGGCCUUCAGGGCAACACUGGACUGGGUGGGAAGUUGGGAAGACCCAGCUAGAGGAUAAACACAGGAGAGAUGCACAGCUGCUCAGGGAGGGGCCAGUGGGGGCACCCAGGCCCCUGCCACCUUAUCUGCCACCUGUGACAACCCAUGCACAACUUCCCCUUACACAGUCCAGUGGUACUCAUCCCGUAUGUCCCGUGAUUCAUCAACGGUAAGAGGCGCACUUCCAGAUUUCCAAAACUGGAGUGCGAUCAUUGGCAAGUCAGAGUUUAAUUAGGCAACCAAACAACCAUGCAUCUUCCCAGAGAUGAUGACUGAGAUGCAAUGACAUAAGGUCUACGAUCAAGCAGGGUCAGCCAGGCCACACCAUGCCACACACAAGAACUCCAGGUGGACGCCGGGAGCUAUGAGGUGCACCAACCACGGUGGAUGUGACUUACCCACAGCAUGGCACGCGGCCCACGAGGCUCAGGCCAGAUCCCUGUCCUACCCCAUGAGAUCUACUCCAGAAGUAAAUCUACCUGUUCGUCAACUACAAAUUGCAUCUUCUAGCAUAUACACAAUUCACCCCACCUUCAGCCAACGUGGAACCGUGUCUUGCACAUCUACUUUCCUCCCAUAAAUGACGCUUUGCCCGUGAGAUCCCCUGGCUCUGCACCUCAGCAUCAGAAAAAUGGGGUUGAUCUCCUCUUCAGGGGAUGGAGCAGGCAUUGAAUGGCCACAUAUAGGCCCUCUGGACCCAGAGUUUCUGAAUCAGAGGAUUCAACCAACCUCAGACGGAAAAAUUUGUGUCACAACUGAACGUAUGCAGGAUGUUUGUUUUUGAGACAGGUCUCACUAUGUUGUCCAGGCUGGCCUUGAACUCAAGGCCUGGCCUCCAGCGAUCCUCCCGCCUUAGCUUCCCAAAGACCUGGGACCACACCUGGCUACAGCACAGAAGAUUGUUCCUUGCCAUUAUUUCUUUGCCUACACAAUACAGUAUAACCACUCCGUACAAAGCAUUCACAACGUAUUCGGUAGUAUAUCUCGUAAUGAUUGAGGAUGUCUGUAGGUCAUGUGCAAAUUAUAUUAAGCAAUUUAUAGUAAGGACUUGAAACACUGAUUUUGGCCUUGGAGAGCGUCCUGGAACCAAUCCCUUGAAGGGCAAAAUAGCAGGGGUCACUGUCGUUGGUGCUGGACUCCUUGAGUUGCUGGCCACAGGAUCUUUGGGAAUUGGGACCCUAUCUCUGGAAAGCUCCCAGGUGUGGCCUGCCCAGCCCUGAAUGAGCCCUGGACUUGAAGCCAUCGAUUCUUCCCCUUCCUCUGGAGCUGUCAGGACCCAGCUCCAAAGGGCAGCAGCUCCCAGGAGCUGACAGGACGGCAGAGCUCGCUUGAAGGUCCAGGAGAGGAGUUUAAGAAGGGAAGGAGAGGCUGCCACCCGUGGGCCCGGAUCACAUGCCUCUGCCAUGCACAGCCACGCGGGGCGUGGGGCAGAGAGAACCAGGAUUUUAUCAAGACAAAGAACAAAAGUCGUGGGGGAAAGAAGCCAAGAGCCAUCUCCCCUGUGGGGUUCCCAACUGCUGACCAAACUCCAGUCUAGCCGCCACCUGGCCCCAGGCUGGCCCAGUCUGGCUGCUUCCCGACAGCUCCCAAGAUCUGGGGUAGGAGGCCAAGGGCAGCUGGGGACCGCCAAGGACCCCCACCUCCCACCUGAGAGGACAGCUUCCUGCCCAGAGUUGGGAUCUGAUGCUUCCUGGUCUCAACAGCAGAUGCCAGGUAGGCGCCCUGGCGGUCUGGGCCUCUGGGCUCCUCCUGGAGCCCCCAACGGACCACCUGCUCACACUGCCAUGGCUUAAUCCCCAAGGGACCCCACAGCACUGGACAGGCUGUGUCCCUGACCCACUCCUUUGGCACAUGGAGACACUGAGGCUGUCGGCAAAUGGAAGCUGCUGCAGUUUGAAGAGUGGAGCUGGCCAGAGACCAGGGGCCCCUCCCUGAGCCCCAAAGGCUGGAAGGGACUUGGGAAUUGCUCCAGGCCACUCAGUGGUGGCAGGACCCAGACUGGCGCUUAAUAUAACCGGUUGGCUGAAUGAAAGAGCGAACAACCAAGGAAUCGUCGGCCCCAGUGUUGAACACUGAUUCAGCACCUGCCCCGUGUGCGAUCCCAGGAGAUGCCACAGCGAAGAUCCUGGGCAAGAGCCCUGCCUCACAGGGCUGCAACCAGCAAGCCAGGUCAAGGCUGCCCAGGCAAACUGCAAGUCCAGAAAAACUUUACUUUAGAAUGCUUUUCUAAAGUAGGUCCCAAAGAAUGAAUGGGGCAUACUCAUACUUUAAAAGUUUGUGGUUUAUCUCAAACCCAAAUGAGAGUCGUGGAUUGUUUCUGGAAGCUCUAUCCCCCCUCCCCUGGCACACAGCUUGGGUCAUGGUGGAAAGGCGGAGUGGGGACCGAAAUCAAGUAAAUAAACAACCAAGUACAUUCAAAUAGUAGUUAAACAAUGACACAGCACGAUGCGACAGCACACCGGGACAGGUAGGGGGCGUCUUUGGAUCUGACAGCAAGAUUUCACCUGCACCACUUUUAAUCCCAGUGUUGCUUAGGAAAAGCCCUUUGAGGAUCUUAAAGGGCACGAGGGAGACUCCGAGGCGGGCAGAGGGUGCCAGCCGGGGAAAGGGGCUGCUGAAUCUCACUCGAUAGACUCCGCGGUCUGCAGCUUGGACCUGGGCCUUCGCAAACCUGCGCGAACCCGCAGACCCACCCCUCGGGUCAGCCAAUGUCCUCGACGGGGCUGGGAGCCAGGGGAAGAGGCCAAAGGAGCUGUGCAGAGAAGCGUGGCCACCUGGCCAGAGCUGGGAGCCUUGACACACUUUCCCCUCCCUGGCCCGCCCCACCCCCGGCGCAGCAGAACCUGCGUGAGCCCCAAGCCGGAGGGCGACCUGGAGGAGGCGACAGCGACGCGCCUCUGCUGCGCUUGGCACUCCCCGGGUUCCCCCUAGUGGCCCCCGCGGGAACUGGCGCUCAGAAUUAGGUAGCUGGUAGCUGUCACAGAGCCUUCACCGACCACAGCGGAGCCGCGCCACAGACCCCACCAAUCACAGGACCAGUCGGUCUACGUCUCUCCAAACCCGCGGAAGCCAGCUCGACACAAUCACCAAUAACAGCUCGUCGCUACUGCACCAAUCAGGAUGCAAGAUGUAAAAACCGGUUCCCCAGCCGCCUCCGCGCUGCCCUUCCAGGGUUCCUGAAACCUCAGUUCCCAGCACCUGCUGCCAGUGCGCAGGCGCCUUGGAGGAAGGUCCCAGGCUUCGUGCUGGCUCCCAGCGGAAGCCCACGUUUGCAUUCAGAGGCAUAUUUAAUGACAUUGCUGUCAUUAAAUGUCACCCCUCCAUUAUGGAAAUUGGAGGGUAUGGGCAGUGGAAAAACUGGACCUUGGAGUCAGACACACUGAAGCUUUGUGCAGCAGGAGGUUUGCUUCCCUUUCCUCAGCUGUUACGAGAACAAUAGUAAUAUCUACACGAAAUACCGGUCACCCUUCCCCAUCAAUAAUCCAAGGGCAAAUACUAGGAGUCACUAUCUUUGUGUCCCGCCUCACCUGCUAUCUCUCCCUUCAUCAGAAAACCCAGUUCUUCCACCUCCAACAGUAUCUAGAGUUUUCAUCAUCUUUCCAUCUCCAACUGAACCAGCGGUGGCAGAAACGCCCAUCAUCUCUGGACAUCUGUUUUCCACUCGGGCUCCCCUACCACCCACUCCUCAGCCUGGGACAGGGGUGAUCUUGUACAAGCCUACAUUGGAUCAGAUCCUCCUCUACUUACACUUUUACAACUUCCUUUGCAUUUAUAAUAAAGCUCAUAAAACCCCUGCCAGAGACUAAGGCAGGACACAACCUCCUUUUUAACCUCUCUACCUCUCCAACCUUAUUCCAUCCCACUCCUGCACCCCCUCCUUUUUUUCCCUUCCUGUCUCAGGGUCUUUGCACAUUCUUUGUCCUCUGCCUGGAAUAUGAUUCCUGGGUCCUUUGCAUGCCUGUUGGGUGAAAAAAUAUCCUUCAGAUGUGGACUUAAUUUUUAUUGUAUCUGGGAGGAAUUUCCUAUAUGUUUAUGCAGAGUCUCUGCAUCCUUCACCUCUUUAUUCUCUAUCUCUGUACUUAUUAUUUCCCCUUAGCACUUUAUAUUGAUUUGAAAUGGCACAAAUGUUUGGUUACUUGUGUGUUAACUAUUUCCAGGUCAGGACAGAAUGCCUUUAUUUUAUUUGUGUAUGGUGCUAAGGAUCAAACCCAGGGCCUCACACAUGCUAGGCAAGUGUUCUGCCACUGUGCUUCAGCCCCAGCCCUCUGAAAAAGAUUUUGAAGGAGAGACUACUAAUCAUAUGCUGACGUCCUUGGUGAACAGUAGGCAAUCAACAGAAAGGAGUUCAUGCUUACACAAGUUCUGGAAGGUGGAGAUUGAAAUCAUAGGUGCUUCUACAUGUAGGAGGGCUCAAGAAGUGAGAAGCACUUGUUUGUCCACCAGAGUUUCCUUGGUGCUGUCAGCUUCAUGCAUGGGUGCAUGGAGGAGCUGUCCUGGGCUUGCAGGCUGCUUGGCAGCAUCUUUGGCCUCAAUUCAUUAGAUGCCAGUAGCACCUUGCCCCUCUCCCCAGAGGUGAACCCCCCACCAAAAAAAAAAAAUUCUCCAGAUAUUUAAAAACAUCCCUUGGGGGUCAAAAUUUCCCUUGAUGGAGAACUAUUGUGCUAGACCUCUUAGAUGUACAAGAAAAUUUUCUUCCAGUAAUUCAGAGCUUCUCAAAUUUCAGUGUCCAAACAAAUCAUCUUGGGGCCAUUACUGAAAAUCCGAAUCCCUGGGGUCCUACCUUCAGGCUCUGGGGUCAGCAGCGGGCCCAGGCAGCAGAUGUUUCGUGAGCUUCCAGACGCUUCUGGUGCAAGAUGUUCUCAGACCCCACUCUAAAAACUCUGCCAAGAAUCCUCCUGAUAACCUGAUAAGCAGGCACCACUGUGGGAGGCCCCGCCCACACGGAUCCUGCCUUUACUUCCUCUCCUUUCCAGCCACCCUUCCCUGGAUGACUUUCCCAAGGAGACACAGAACCUGUCUCAGCCAAGCCCACACUGCCUCAUCUCCCUUCUGAGCAGACAUACAAACUGACCACAGUUCAGUGGAAGCCACCUGUGGAAAGACACUGGGGCACUGGGGAUGGAAACCAGAGUCUCACACAUGCUAAGCGCACACAGUGAGCUAUUCCGAGAGCUAGACCUCCAGUUCUGUGUGUUUGUUCUUAUUUUCAAAAUAGGAGUGACAAUGAGCGUGUGACUGGGAGUGUGAGUGGUAUAGGUGUUGAUCUACAGGAAGGGCUCAGAACUGGCCCUGCACAGUGACUGCUAUGGAGAGCAGGCAGGGUCAAGAGCCAAGUGACUCAGGAAAAGUGUUUGAACUUGAUGGAGAGGAACAAGAAACCCUCCGCAGUGGUCAAAAAUAAACCACCAGACAGUGUGGCAGGCAGAGCUGCCCUAGCAGCAGGUAAGAGGCUACACCUGGAAACCACUGCCCAAACCUAGACUCAGGUGUCAGUGACAAGGACAUAGUGCUCGGGUCUCCAGAGCUGAGGCCCCCUGCAUUCUACCCAGAAAGGACCAGAAAGGGACAGCUGCACCUGGUUCUGAUUUUAUAAUUAGACACAUAAAAUUUUCCUAGGAUGGGGCAAGGUGGGGAAACAAUCAGAGAGCUAAAGGCCAUCUGGCCUGGAUCCUGGGAAAGAGGAGAGACACAGUGUAGCACAGAGGGUAAGGCAUUGCCAUUAAAAUAUAGCAAUGGCACCAUUUGCAUAGCUGUUGGACCUGAUUAAAAUUAGAAGUUCUUGUCAAGCGCAUUGCCCCAGGCCUGUAAUCCCAGCAGCUCAGGAGGCUGAGGGCAGGAAGAUCAGGAGUUCAAAGGAAGCCUCAGCAACUUAGUGAGGCCCUGAGCAAUUUAGCGAAAUCGUGUGUCAAAAUAAAAUAUAAGCAGGGCAAGGUGGCACAGGGCAAGGUGGCUCAGGCCUGUAAUCCCGGUGGCUUGGGAGGAUGAGGCAGGAGGAUCACGAGUUCAAAGCCAGCCUCAGCAACCGCAAAGUGGAGCAGGAGGAUCACGAGUUCAAAGGCAGCCUCAGCAACCGCAAGCAACUCAGUGAGACCCUGUCUCUAAAUAAGAUACAAACACAGGGCUGGGGAUGUGGCUCAGUGGUUGAAUGCUACUGAGUUCAAUACCCACUACCCACCUCCCCCAAAUUAAUUUCAACUGUUUUUUGGUUCUUUUAAAAUGAAACUUCAUUUUGGUGUACUGUAGAUUCACUCACUUUUAAAAAUUGUUUAAGGGGCUGGAGUUGUGGCUCAGUGGUCUAGCGCUCGCCUAGCACAUGCAAGGCCCUGGGUUUGAUCCUUAGCACCAGAUAAAAAUAAAUUAAAAAAAAAAAAAAGAUAUUUUGGGCUGGGGAUGUGGCUCAAGCGGUAGCACGCUCGCCUGGCAUGCAUGCGGCCCGGGUUCGAUCCUCAGCACCACAUACAAACAAAGAUGUUGUGUCUGCCGAAAACUGAAAAAUAAAUAUUAAAAAUUAAAAAAAAAAGAAGUUCAAACUUGAGCUCAGUUUAAAAAAAAUUGUUUAAAUAUUGUUGCUGCAGGGGCUGGGGAUGUGGCUCAAGUGGUAGCGCGCUCGCCUGGCAUGCGUGCGGCCCGGGUUCGAUCCUCAGCACCACAUACAAAGAUGUUGUGUCCGCCGAAAACUAAAAAAUAAAUAUUUAAAAAAAAAAUUCUCUCUUUAAAAAAAAAUAAAUAAAUAUUGUUGCUGGAAAUAGAUAAAUAGAGCAGUGGGGAGAGCCCAGAAGGUCUAUACAUAUUGGAAAACGGAAGACAGAAGUGGUGGUAGGUACUGCAUACCAGGCAAUUAAGAUGCCCUAUUCAGUAAAGGGUAUAGGACCAAGUGGCUUUUCAAAUAACAAAAAAAUGUCCUCUGCUCUGGUUUGGAUGUGUCCUUCAGGAGUUCAUGUGUAGCAAUGCACAGGCUGAGGGCAUGUAGAUGUGAGGCCUUUAGGAUUAAAUGAGCUCAUGCAGGUGGGUGUUCAUGGCUUUCUGAGGGCAAGAGAGGCUCCCACAAGCAUACUUGCUCUGCCCCUCCAUGUGGUGACACAGCCAGGAGGCCCCCACCAGAUACUGAAAAGAUGCUGGUACCAUGCCCAAUUUCCCAGCCUACAGCACUCUGAGCCAACUAAACUUCUGUGCUUUAUAAAUUACUCAGUCUUGGGUAUUUUGUUAUAGCAACAGAAAAUUGAAUAAGCUAAUAUUCUCAUUUCGUACCACACACAAAACCCAAUCCCUGUGGAAUAAAGACCUAACUAUGAAAAUGAAAGUUUUCAUGCCUAUAGAAAAUAUUUAGGGUAAUAUCUUCUUUCUCUCAAGGCACUGGAAUAGUGAAUGGACAAGAUAUACAAAAAGCACAAACCAUACAGGAAAAUACUAUAUUUAAUGACUUUAUAAAUCAGCUAAAAUAUAACUACAUUAAAACUCUAAGCAUCUAGCCAGGCUCAGUGCUACACGCCUGUAAUAUCAGUCACUCAGGAGGCUGAGGCAGGAGGAUUGCAGGUUUGAGGCCAACCUCAUCUAUUUAGAAAGACCCUUUCUCAAAAUAAUAAAUAAAAAAGGACUGGGGGUAUAGCUCAUGAGUUAAGUGCUGCUGGGUUCAGUAUCCAGUAUGGUACAUUAAUAAAUAAGUGAAUAAAUAAAUGGAGUGGAAAGAUUAGCUACAGAUGUUCAAUGGUACUUGCCAUUAAUAUAACUAAAAAAGGAUUAGUAUCAAGAGUGAAUAACUCAGGGCUGGCGCUGUAGCUCAGUGGUAGAGCGCUUGCCUAGCACGUGUGAGGCACUGGGUUCAAUCCUCAGCACCACGUAAAAAUAAAUAAAUAAAAUAAAGGCAUGCUGCCCAUUUACAACUACAAUUUUUUUUUUUUUAAAAAGAGUGAAUAACUCACACACUAUUUUGAGAACAAUGUUAUUUCAGUGAACGGUGUGUCGGCCAUGCAGAAGUUUACCUGUAGUGCGCUAUUUAAAAACAUAUGUAUAAAAGGUCUUUCUUGCCAGGCUGUGGUGCCGCAGGCCUGUAAUCCCAGUGACUCAGGAGGCUGAGGCAGGAGGACCGUGAGCUGGAGGCCAGCAUCAGCAACUUAGUGAGAUCUUAUCUCGUAAUAAAAAAAUAAAAGAACUGGGGAUGUAGCUCAGCAGUAAAGCACUCCUGGGGUUCAAUCCCCAGUAGACAAAAUAAUAGAAGUAAUAACUCCUACAAAUUGAUAAGGCAAAUAAUGUAAUAAGAAAGCAGGAAAAGAUAAAGACAAUCUCAGAAGGGGAAGAAACCCCAAGACAGAGAGAACCCCUCCCUCCCUCUCUAGCAAUAGAUGAAAUACAAAUGGAAAAGUGAAGCAUCAUUUUACCUUCGUCAUCUUGCUUUUGAGGAUGUGGAGCAAGGAGAACCCUCAACACUGCUGACAGGUGUGGGGUGGACAGAGGGGUAUGUACCAAGAUCUCAUGGGAAGGAAGAGGCCCGCUGCCUGAGACGCAGAGGCCCCACUACUGUGCAGUGCCGUAGAGAAAAACUCUCAUCCACAGACAGAAGAAUGUUGUUCGUGGCUUUAAGAUGGUGACAAACUGGCUGGGCCUUGUGGCACAUGCCUCCGAGGAGAAUGGCAAGUUCAAAGCCAGCCUAAGAAACUUAGGGAGGCCCUAAGCAACUCAGCGAGACCCUGUCUCUAAAUAAAAUAUAGAUAAGGGCUGGAGAUGUGGCUCAGUGGGUAAGCGCUCCUGGGUUCAAUCCCCAGUUUUAAAAAAAAAAAGAUAAUGACUAAAUGGAAACAACCCCAUUGUCACAAAAUGAAAUAAACAUACAAGGCAUUUUAAAUGAGUGACUGCAUUAGGUGGAUCAGUAGAGGAAGAUCCAAAAGCCAUUAUGUGGGGUGAAUCACAGGACAUUGCUGAAGGCUGCCCGCAACACACCGUUUGAAUAAAUUUCCCAAACAUGCAAAGUGCUCCUUUUAUUGCUCAUGUACAGCAUGUAGAGUCAAAGUCCAAAAACGUGUCUGGUUAUAAUGACAAUCACCAGACCUUGACAGUGGUCGCCUCGGAGCUGAGUGGCAGGGGUGACGGGAUCGAGUGGGGACAGGGGCUUCCAUUCUGUGUCACAUAUCAUUUCUCAUUUAGACAAACAAAAAUAAACCCAAAGAAAGUGUGACCCUCCAGGAGGAUUUGACAGAACUGAGUGGCGGGUAUAUCAACGUUCACACUAAAAUCAACCAUCUUCCAGAUUACCAGCAACAUACAAUUCA